rnacentral:rRNA from 1 species
AACGAACGCUGGCGGCAUGCCUAACACAUGCAAGUCGAACGAGACCUUCGGGCCUAGUGGCGCACGGGUGCGUAACGCGUGGGAACCUGCCCUUAGGUUCGGAAUAACUCCCCGAAAGGGGUGCUAAUACCGGAUAAUGUCUUCGGACCAAAGUUUUAUCGCCUUUGGAUGGGCCCGCGUUGGAUUAGCUAGUUGGUAGGGUAAAAGCCUACCAAGGCGACGAUCCAUAGCUGGUCUGAGAGGAUGAUCAGCCACACUGGGACUGAGACACGGCCCAGACUCCUACGGGAGGCAGCAGUGGGGAAUAUUGGACAGUGGGCGAAAGCCUGAUCCAGCAAUGCCGCGUGAGUGAUGAAGGCCUUAGGGUUGUAAAGCUCUUUUACCCGGGAUGAUAAUGACAGUACCGGGAGAAUAAGCUCCGGCUAACUCCGUG